CCUACGUGAGGCUGCAGUGGGGAAUAUUGGGCAAUGGACGCAAGUCUGACCCAGCAACGCCGCGUGAAGUAAGAAGGCUUUCGGGUUGUAAACUUCUUUUAAGGGGGAAGAGCAGAAGACGGUACCUGACUAAGAAGCCCCGGCUAACUACGUGCCAGCAGCCGCGGUAAUACGUAGGGGGCGAGCGUUAUCCGGAUUUACUGGGUGUAAAGGGAGCGUAGACGGUUCUGCAAGUCUGAAGUGAAAGCCCGUGGCUUAACCGCGGAACGGCUUUGGAAACUGUGGAAGUGGAGUGCUGUAGAGGCAAGCGGAAUUCCUAGUGUAGCGGUGAAAUGCGUAGAUAUUAGUAGGAACACCAGUGGCGAAGGCGGCUUGCUGGACAGUAACUGCCGUUGAGGCUCGAAAGCGUGGGGAGCAAACAGGAUUAGAUACCCCUGUAGU
rnacentral:rRNA from 1 species